rnacentral:rRNA from 1 species
UGAGGAAUAUUGGUCAAUGGACGAGAGUCUGAACCAGCCAAGUCGCGUGAAGGAAGACGGCCCUACGGGUUGUAAACUUCUUUUGUAAGGGAAUAAAUAGUCUUACGCGCUAAGACGUUGCAGGUACCUUACGAAUAAGGAUCGGCUAACUCCGUGCCAGCAGCCGCGGUAAUACGGAGGAUCCGAGCGUUAUCCGGAUUUAUUGGGUUUAAAGGGUGCGCAGGCGGUAUGUUAAGUCGGCGGUGAAAUUUUGCAGCUCAACUGUAAAAGAGCCUUCGAAACUGGCAAGCUUGAGUGUGGAUGAAGUAGGCGGAAUUUGUGGUGUAGCGGUGAAAUGCAUAGAUAUCACAAAGAACACCGAUUGCGCAAGCAGCUUACUAAACCAUAACUGACGCUCAUGCACGAAGGCGUGGGGAUCAAACAG